rnacentral:lncRNA from 1 species
UAACUGAUCCUCCUUUUUUCUUUUCUUUCUGCACAUAACAUUUCCCUCCACCUUAUUCAUGUACAGAAAAGAUUCUUAUGAAGCCAAAAGUUUGCUAAUGAAAAUAAGCAAAAAGAUUGAGAUCAUUGACAUUUUGCCUUCUUCUAAAUACAAUCACUUCAAUAAAGCUCAAUGCCAAGUCGAGAUAAACCAAACUCGUGCUCCUUCCGAAAGAGAUGAAACCGUAUCGUUUCAAAUGUCGAGUUCUUUAUCUUCUUGGAUGCUCCCUUUCAUGGUUCUCGAUACCAACUUCGCGUCUUUUCACCGACUGUGCCAACACUUCUUGAUUUCGCACCGAUUGCAUGGAGCCCUUGUCAUGAACUAGUUGCAUAACAUCUGCCAAAAGAAUAAAAGAACCAAUCAUAAACAAAUUGCGACCACGAAAUAGUACAUUCUCUCUCUUUCAACAUACCUUUUCUUGUUCGGUACACGGUCUUCGCUUGCUAUGAAAUAUAGAAAUCUAGGAUGAGAAGUCCAAAACACGUGAUCUGUUGCGAGAGAGAAAGUCGACUGACAGCCUCGGACUUUCGAUAACUGGAGUAGGCAGUGUGUUUGUAACUCAAUCCCACAAAAUCCGCAAAGACAACCCGACAGACGAACGUUGUAAGUGAAUCUAGUGUGGACUUCUACACGUUCCGGUCCAAACAGUCGU